CGGGGUGUGGUGUAACGGCAGCACGAGUCCUUUGGGAGGAUUUAGUCCCAGUUCAAAUCUGGGCACCCCGA
rnacentral:tRNA from 2 species